rnacentral:lncRNA from 1 species
GUAGAUAUUGAGUUUUAAUUUGAUACAAGGAAAAUGAAACUCAUAAAGUAUGUCAUUAGGACACUUACUUAAUAUAUUACAAAAGUAGGAGGUUUAGUAGAUACUAACCUCAACACAUACCACGCAUGCGACUCGCAUACGUAUAGGCGAAACAAUGCUCACAACAAUAUGGUGCUGUCGCAUGCCUUAGACGACAAGGAGGAACGGAUUUGAAAUAGUAAAACCCCUUGAAAAGUUGAAACCCGGUGAGAUGCAUUUCCCUCACAAACGUUUCCACUUGCUCUGCUAUCAUCACGGCCCGGUGAAAGUUAGAUAUCUUGUCUACAAAAUGUGCUAGGACUUCUUCUCCUUCUUCUACCCCACCACAACAUAUGAGGAAAAGGCCAUAUGCGUAUCGAGCAUAAAUGCUAUAACACGCAGCAUCACCCAAUAGAUCUAACCUUUCUUGCGAUGGCCCUAGUAGAGUUAGGAGGCGCACAGAUUCGACAAAUUGAGCUAUGGGAUUUUUACUGGCAAGACACCUCAACAAGAAGGGUCUGUAGAUGGAGAAGACGCUAGCAAUGUCACCAUUGAAUAGAAACUCAUCCAAAUCAACCUCACGCAACAC